rnacentral:rRNA from 1 species
GAUGAACGCUGGCGGCGUGCCUAACACAUGCAAGUCGAGCGAUUCUCUUCGGAGAAGAGCGGCGGACGGGUGAGUAACGCGUGGGUAACCUGCCCUGUACACACGGAUAACAUACCGAAAGGUAUGCUAAUACGAGAUAAUAUGCUUUUAUCGCAUGGUAGAAGUAUCAAAGCUCCGGCGGGACAGGAUGGACCCGCGUCUGAUUAGCUAGUUGGUAAGGUAACGGCUUACCAAGGCGACGAUCAGUCGCCGACCUGAGAGGGUGAUCGGCCACAUUGGAACUGAGACACGGUCCAAACUCCUACGGGAGGCAGCAGUGGGGAAUAUUGCACAAUGGGCUAAAGCCCGAUGCAGCAACGCCGCGUGAGCGAUGAAGGCCUUCGGGUCGUAAAGCUCUGUCCUCAAGGAAGAUAAUGACGGUACUUGAGGAGGAAGCCCCGGCUAACUACGUGCCAGCCGCCGCUGUAACAC